AGACCGAUAGCGAACAAGUAGAGUGAUCGAAAGAUGAAAAGCACUUUGGAAAGAGAGUCAAAUAGCACGUGAAAUUGUUGAAAGGGAAGCGCUUGCAGCCAGACUUGCCUGUAGUUGCUCAUCCGGGCUUUUGCCCGGUGCACUCUUCUGCGGGCAGGCCAGCAUCAGUUUGGGCGGUUGGAUAAAGGUCUCUGUCAUGUACCUCUCUUCGGGGAGAACUUAUAGGGGAGACGACAUACAACCAGCCUGGACUGAGGUCCGCGCAUUUGCUAGGAUGCUGGCGUAAUGGCUGUAAGCGGCCCGUCUUGAAACACGGACCAAG
rnacentral:rRNA from 1 species